AUUGAACGCUGGCGGCAGGCCUAACACAUGCAAGUCGAGCGGUAGAGAGGUGCUUGCAUCUCUUGAGAGCGGCGGACGGGUGAGUAAUGCCUAGGAAUCUGCCUAGUGGUGGGGGAUAACGUUCGGAAACGGACGCUAAUACCGCAUACGUCCUACGGGAGAAAGCGGGGGAUCUUCGGACCUCGCGCCAUUAGAUGAGCCUAGGUCGGAUUAGCUAGUUGGUGAGGUAAUGGCUCACCAAGGCGACGAUCCGUAACUGGUCUGAGAGGAUGAUCAGUCACACUGGAACUGAGACACGGUCCAGACUCCUACGGGAGGCAGCAGUGGGGGAAUAUUGGACAAUGGGCGAAAGACCUGAUCCAGCCAUGCCGCGUGUGUGAAGAAGGUCUUCGGAUUGUAAAGCACUUUAAGUUGGGUAGGAAGGGUAGUAACC
rnacentral:rRNA from 1 species